AUUGAACGCUGGCGGCAGGCCUAACACAUGCAAGUCGAACGAGUGGCGGACGGGUGAGUAAUGUUCGGGAAACUGUCCGAUGGAGGGGGAUAACUACUGGAAACGGUAGCUAAUACCGCAUACUAUCAGCUGUGCCCUGGUGGGUUUAGCUAGUAGGUGGUGUCACGGCUCACCUAGGCGACGAUCCCUAGCUGGUCUGAGAGGAUGACCAGCCAAACUGGAACUGAGACACGGUCCGGACUCCUACGGAAGGCAGCAGUGGGGAAUAUUGCACAAUGGGCGCAAGCCUGCGGCAGCCAUGCCGCGUGUGUGAAGAAGGCCUUCGGGUUGUAAAGCACUUUCAGCGGGGAGGCGUUACCCGCAGAAGGAGCACCGGCUAACUCCGUGCCAGCAGCCGCGGUAAUUC
rnacentral:rRNA from 1 species